rnacentral:rRNA from 1 species
AACGUAGGAGGCGAGCGUUAUCCGGAGUUACUGGGCGUAAAGAGCGUGUAGGCGGCCUAGCAAGUUGCGUGUGAAAGCGCCCGGCUAAACUGGGCGAGGACAGGCAAGACUGCUGAGCUAGAGGACGGUAGAGGGGUGCAGAAUUCCGGGUGUAGCGGUGAAAUGUGUAGAGAUCCGGAGGAAUACCAGUGGUGCAGACGGCGCCCUGGGCCGUACCUGACGCUGAGACGCGAAAGCGUGGGGAGCGAACGGG